rnacentral:rRNA from 1 species
AUGGAUGAUGAGUACUACCUAUUUGCCGGUGAAGGAUCCGACGCUGAAAGCACGGACGUCAAUGAGCCCGUAGACUCCUCGAACACGGGAUCUGUCGAGCUUGAUCCUUUGGACUAUGUGUACUCGAACAUCCCAGAUAGCACGCACAUCUUGAAGCACGCGGCAAACUGUCACCAUUGCAAGGCCAAGAAGUUCCAGUACGAGACUGACGGCUUCUGCUGUCGGAACAGGGAGAUUGGGCUGGCUGGACCGGAGGAAACUCCCAACAGUUUAGGAGUUUGGGUGCCCACAAGGAAAACCUCGAGGAGUACCGGAUAG